CACCUGCUGGUGUAGUGGUCAGCACACAGGUAGGCUUAUGUCCUGAAGGACCUGCUUCAACUCCGGGGCAGGUGU